CCUACGGGUUGCAGCAGUGGGGAAUAUUGGACAAUGGGGGGAACCCUGAUCCAGCCAUGCCGCGUGUGUGAAGAAGGCCCUCGGGUUGUAAAGCACUUUCAGUGAGGAAGAACGCCUGGUGGUUAAUACCCAUCAGGAAAGACAUCACUCACAGAAGAAGCACCGGCUAACUCCGUGCCAGCAGCCGCGGUAAUACGGAGGGUGCGAGCGUUAAUCGGAAUUACUGGGCGUAAAGCGCGCGUAGGUGGCUUGAUAAGCCGGUUGUGAAAGCCCCGGGCUCAACCUGGGAACGGCAUCCGGAACUGUCAAGCUAGAGUGCAGGAGAGGAAGGUAGAAUUCCCGGUGUAGCGGUGAAAUGCGUAGAGAUCGGGAGGAAUACCAGUGGCGAAGGCGGCCUUCUGGACUGACACUGACACUGAGGUGCGAAAGCGUGGGUAGCAAACAGGAUUAGAUACCCGAGUAGUC
rnacentral:rRNA from 1 species